rnacentral:lncRNA from 1 species
UCACUUGAGGUCAGGAGACCAGCCUGGUCAACAUGGGGAAAUCCCGUCUCUACUCAAAAUACAACAAUUAGCUCGGCAUGGUGGCAAGCGCCUGUUGCUGGCACCUCCAAAUCUUCCAGUUGCUUAGGCCAAAAACCUUAUAAUCAUCCAUGAUCUCACACGCUUACCCUCUACAUCCAAUCAGCACGUUGUAUUGGCUCUACCUUAAAUAAAUACCCACCCUCCUCCUACUCUCCACCUUCUGAAAGGCCCUGGUAU